rnacentral:rRNA from 1 species
AUUGAACGCUGGCGGCAGGCUUAACACAUGCAAGUCGAGCGGGGUGAUGGUGCUUGCACUAUCACUUAGCGGCGGACGGGUGAGUAAUGCUUAGGAAUCUGCCUAUUAGUGGGGGACAACAUCUCGAAAGGGAUGCUAAUACCGCAUACGUCCUACGGGAGAAAGCAGGGGAUCACUUGUGACCUUGCGCUAAUAGAUGAGCCUAAGUCGGAUUAGCUAGUUGGUGGGGUAAAGGCCUGCCAAGGCGACGAUCUGUAGCGGGUCUGAGAGGAUGAUCCGCCACACUGGGACUGGGACACGGCCCAGACUCCUACGGGAGGCAGCAGUGGGGAAUAUUGGACGAGGGGGGGAACCCUGAUCCAGCCAUGCCGCGUGUGUGAAGAAGGCCUUAUGGUUGUAAAGCACUUUAAGCGAGGAGGAGGCUCUUUUGGUUAAUACCCAAGAUGAGUGGACGUUACUCGCAGAAUAAGCACCGGCUAACUCUGUGCCAGCAGCCGCCGUAA